rnacentral:misc_RNA from 1 species
GAUGAAGAACGUAGCGAAAUGCGAUAACUAAUGUGAAUUGCAGAAUUCAGUGAAUCAUCGAGUCUUUGAACGCACAUUGCGCCCCCUGGUAUUCCGGGGGGCAUGCCUGUCCGAGCGUCAUUGCUGCCCUCAAGCACGGCUUGUGUGUUGGGCUCCGUCCCCCCGGGGACGGGCCCGAAAGGCAGCGGCGGCACCGAGUCCGGUCCUCGAGCGUAUGGGGCUUUGUCACCCGCUCUGUAGGCCCGGCCGGUGCCAGCCGACAACCCAUCAUCCUUUUCAGGUUGACCUCGGAUCAGGUAGGGAUACCCGCUGAACUUAAGCAUAUCAAUAAGCGGAGGA